CCAGACUCCUACGGGAGGCAGCAGUGGGGAAUAUUGGACAAUGGGGGGAACCCUGAUCCAGCGACGCCGCGUGAGUGAAGAAGUAUUUCGGUAUGUAAAGCUCUAUCAGCAGGGAAGAAAGAAAUGACGGUACCUGACUAAGAAGCCCCGGCUAACUACGUGCCAGCAGCCGCGGUAAUACGUAGGGGGCAAGCGUUAUCCGGAUUCACUGGGUGUAAAGGGAGCGUAGACGGCGACGCAAGUCUGGAGUGAAAGCCCGGGGCCCAACCCCGGGACUGCUCUGGAAACUGCGUCGCUGGAGUACGGGAGGGGCAGGCGGAAUUCCUGGUGUAGCGGUGAAAUGCGUAGAUAUCAGGAGGAACACCGGCGGCGAAGGCGGCCUGCUGGACCGUGACUGACGUUGAGGCUCGAGAGCGUGGGGAGCAAACAGGAUUAGAUACCCUUGUAC
rnacentral:rRNA from 1 species